rnacentral:rRNA from 1 species
ACAAUGGAGAGUUUGAUCCUGGCUCAGGAUGAACGCUAGCUACAGGCUUAACACAUGCAAGUCGAGGGGAAACGACAUCGAAAGCUUGCUUUUGAUGGGCGUCGACCGGCGCA